UCCUUUACUAAUGCAGAAAUGAAGUCAGUUGCAUAUUGUGAAAUCUAGACUCAAUGUGUACAUUGCUGUCAUCUAGUAAUGUCUUAUUUGAUAGAGUGCUUGCUUAUAUAAACUAUUUCACAAUAAUAUAAAAGAAUCUCUUCACUAAGCUUUUAUUUGAAAGGUAAAGUACAGAUUUAUUAAAAGUAGAAUUGCUUUUUCAUGUUGUUUGAUUGGGAACAAAAUGUUGGUAAAUGAUUAGCUCUUUCUGGGGUGUUGGAAAAAGAGUGCCAAGUAUGGUUAUACUCUAGUAAUUCUAAAGUGUAACAUGUCUUCUAUCCUUUGUAAAUGUUAUCUGACGUGAAAAAAGGAGAAUGAUCUUACAGUUUUAUGAGUUUAAAAAUUUUUUUUCUAUCAGAUAGUAGUAGCUAGAAGCUUCAGGAAACUAAAACUGAUAAUCAAAAUAUGGCUUUUAUAUGUGUAUUUUUUUGAUGCCUAAAAUAAGGAACAUUCAAACAAAGCUUAGAUGAGAAUAAAUUGAUAAAAAUCUGUAUAUAUCUAUCUAAUUUGUCUUAUAAUAUAUUGAAUGUUAUUACCUGUCUCCAUCUCUCUUAAAGGAAAAAAAGACGACAUUACACAGCAACAUGAUUAUUUAAUUAAUAGCUUUUCCUUUUGAUGCCAGUCUUGUUUUAGUUAUAAUAACACUAAUAGGUAUAUCUGUCAAAGGACUUACAAAUAAAAGAUAUUCAAGUCUGUAGUUGUUUUUAUCAUAUAUUUUAUAUUCUGUCCACUUUACUAAUUUAGUUUUUUAAAAAUUUUGACAUUGUUUAUGGGAUCAUGGCUAUCAGAUACUCUGAUAAUAUCAAGAACAGUGAUAGAAAAGGAAAAAAUGUUAUCUACCAGAGUUUUAAAACUAUAUUUACUUUGAAAUGUGACACUCAUGCAGAAAACUAUGCAAAAUAUAAAUGUACAGCUCAGUGAGUUGGCAAACUACCACUCAUGUCAAGAAAUAGAACAUUACUAGUAUCCAAAAACUACCCUUGUACACCUCCCCAUCCUUCUCCCUCCUCCUUUCCCAAUGGUACCCCUGAACUAACUACUAAUCCUAUAGUUUUCCCCUUUUUUGAAUUUUAUAUGAAAGGGACAGCAUAGUAAGUAUUCUUUUGUGUUUGAUGUUUUGGGCUGAACAUUUUGUUUAUGAGAUGUAUUCAUGUAGUUGUGUGUAGCUGCAGUUUGUUAAAAAACUAUGAAAGUGAAUUCAGUGUUCACUUUCAUUGCUUUACGAUAUUCCAUUGCAUGAAUACAUGUAAUUCUAUCACUGAGAGAGUAAUUUGGGUUGUUUCCCAGUUUGGGCCAUGACGAAUAAUGCUGCCAUGAACAUCUUAUAAAUAUCUCCUUGUACAUAUAUAAACAUUCUUCUUAUAAGUGGAAUUGUUGAGUUAUAGAGUGUGCACAUGUCGAUUUUUAGAUAAUCCCAAGUUGUUUUUAGCAGCAUGUACCAAUUAAGACUCUCAUAACAAUGGUGUAAGAGUUCCAGAUGCUCUACAUCUUGACCAACUGUCAAUGGUUUUCGAUUUAGCCAUUCUGGAAAAUUUGUAGUAGUAUGUCCCCUGUGAUUUGAGUUAAACUCUGAAGGCUUUCAGGCAUAUGUUAUCUUGUAAGGAUACAUUUUUUUCUUUUGAGACGGAGUUUCGGAGUUUCGCUCUUGUCCGCCAUGCUGGAAUGCAAUGGCGUGAUUUUGGCUCGCUGCAACCUCUGCCUCCUGGGUUCAAACGAUACUCCUGCCUCAGCCUCCUAAGUAGCUGGGAUUAUAGGCAUGUGCCACCACACCCUGUUAAUUUUUGUAUUUUUAGUAGAGACAGGGUUUCACUGUGUUGGCCAGACUGGUCUCAAACUCCUGACCUCAAGUGAUCCACCCACCUUGGCCUCCCAGAGUGCUGGGAUUAUAGGUGUGAGCCACUGUGCCUAGCUCUAAGGACACAUUUUUUAACCAUUAUGUACUUUUCUCAUUUGCAAAAUGUGGAUAAUAGAAACCCUGACUUUGUAAGCUUAGUUUGAUAAUUAAAUGAAUUAAUAUUUGUAAAGCACUUAAGACAGUUCCUGGGAGACACUAAGCAUUAUAUAGGCAUUUGUUGCUAUUAUUACCAUUUUUAUAAUUUAUUUUUGUGGUUCUGAAAUUUUACAGUGAUUUGUUUAGACAUAGGUGUUUUUCACAAUUGUUUUGGAUAUCCAAACCGUAUAUGGGUCCAUACGUUUUGAAGACUCAUGUUCUUCUGUUCUGCUAAAUUCUGUUAUAUUAUUUCUUUGAUGAUUUUCUCACUUUUUUCUUUCUUGAGCCUAUUAGUCAGAUGUUUGAUCUUUUGCAUCCCUUUCUCUUUUGUUUUAUGGGUUGGGUUAUCUUGAGUUUAUCCCCAACACUUCUAUCGAAUUUCAUUUGUAUUGUUAGGUAUAUUUUUAAUUUCUAAUUAGAAUUUACUACUUUUUGUUUUUUUGGUAAAGUUCACUACUGUUCCCUGAGUGAUUUUAAUUCUUUCAUGGUCAUUUAGUUUCCCUUUCAUUUCGAUUCUUUUUCUGUCAUAGGUUUUCUAUAAAUGUUUAUUUUAUCCUAGUGUAUCUAUUUUUAUUUAAGAAUAAGGCAAGAACACCUGCAUAUGACUUCUAUAUAUCAUUGGUCCACUCUAGGAUAAGUGGGGAGCAAGCUGGCCACCACGCAUUGAGAUGCUUAAAUGUCAGAAUGUGGAGGGGUUUGCAUUAUAGUGCUAACCUCUACACUGGAUAGUUUAGUUCAUUUCUUCAGAAAAAUAUGCCCUCUUUUGUUGCCUUGGGGUAAAUGUUUGGCUGCCAGAUAAUCUUUGCAUGGGAGUGGGGUAAGAUUUGACUUCUACCUCUAGGGAUUUUCAGUUAAUCUCUUGUUUUCUUCUGCACAUACUACUCAAAGACUGUAACCUACUUGGUGUUUCCAAAGUUCUCUAGGGUCUUGCAGGGUGGAUUGGCUUUUUGCUACCCUGAGUCUCCUCUAUGUAUAUACUCUAAGCUGUGGCUUCCUUCAUCCUAUUUUAUUUGUUAUCACUUCUGUCUUCCAGAAAUAUGUUGAAAUCUUUAUCUAUUAUAACAGAUCCUCCCAUUCUCUUUAUGGCUGUGAAUUUAUACUUUUUGUUUGUUUGUUUUUGUUUUCUUGCUCUCUUGCCCAAGCUGGAGUGCAGUGGCAUGAUCAUAGCUCACUGCAGCCUCAACUUCCUGGGCUCAAGCAGUCCUCCUGCCUCAGCUUCUUGGGUAACUAGGACUCCAGGCUUGCACCACCACACUCGGCUAAUUUAAAAAUUUUUUUGUAGAGAUGGGGUUUUGCCAUGUUGCUGAGGCUGGUCUCAAACUCCUGGCUCAAGCAAUCUUCCUGCCUUGGCCUUCCAAAGUGUUGGGUUUACAGGUGUGAGCCACGACUUCUGGCCUGAAUUUAUACUAUUAAAUUCCUUUUCCUAUUAUUUUAAGAGUCUCUCGGGAAGGAGAGGAGGUAAACAUUAGUGCCUAGCUCACCAUUUUGAACUGAAAAUCUAAUUGUGAUAUUGUUUUAAUUAACAAUGUUGUUAGUUUCUAAUUAAGUACAUAUAUUACUUUAUACUAUUAAUAUAUAUAAUAGAGGAAGUGUAGCGAUCUCAGUAAAUUUUUUUUUAACUUGCUGUUGGAACAUUGUUUUAUUCUCUAGAUUUUGGUAUGUUAUAAUAAUAUUGUGAAGUAAUCUAACAGAAACAAAGCUAUGUUUUAAAUCUUUAGAGCUCUUUUAAACCAAAACAAAUCAGUUGCUGCUUAGCAGUAGAUUUAAUGUAUUUGAUGCUGUUAUACAUAAUUUCAUGUUUGUUUAUCAC
rnacentral:lncRNA from 1 species